rnacentral:rRNA from 1 species
UAGGGAAUCUUCCGCAAUGGACGCAAGUCUGACGGAGCAACGCCGCGUGAGUGAAGAAGGAUUUCGGUUCGUAAAACUCUGUUGUUAGAGAAGAACAGCGCAUAGAGUAACUGUUAUGCGUGUGACGGUAUCUAACCAGAAAGCCACGGCUAACUACGUGCCAGCAGCCGCGGUAAUACGUAGGUGGCAAGCGUUGUCCGGAUUUAUUGGGCGUAAAGCGAGCGCAGGCGGUCAAUUAAGUCUGAUGUGAAAGCCCCCGGCUCAACCGGGGAGGGUCAUUGGAAACUGGUUGACUUGAGUGCAGAAGAGGAGAGUGGAAUUCCAUGUGUAGCGGUGAAAUGCGAAGAUAUAUGGAGGAACACCAGUGGCGAAGGCGACUCUCUGGUCUGUAACUGACGCUGAGGCUCGAAAGCGUGGGUAGCAAACAGG